rnacentral:tRNA from 1 species
AGGGGGCUAGUCUAAACAAGGCACUUGAUUUCGACUCAAAUACUUAUGGUUAAAGUCCAUAGCCCCCUC